ensembl:lncRNA LINC00923 long intergenic non-protein coding RNA 923
AGAGGACGGGGAGGCGCCGCCGAGAGCGAGCCAGGGCUGCUAGCACGUUGUCACCUUUCACUUGGAGGUAGGGCUUCUAGUAGGAGAGGUGGAGAGAGACAUUGAUGAGGAGGGAGAACCUGAGUUUAGGCCAGGAUUCCAACCGUCCGUUUCAAGAGAAAAUGUUCCUGCUGAAUAACAAGGGGGAAACUUGACCAGGCAGGGCCUGGAAAUUAAGAUGGAAGCUCGAGGUUAUGAGAGGCCAGCGUUUCGGGUGCUGUCCAGGUGACUAGGCCUCUAGAGGUUCUUAGAAAGAGAAAGCAUUCUGUGUGGGACUCAGUCUGGGAAACACUGCAUACUGUGUUCUUGUGGAGUUUCACAAUUAAUGCAAACACAUUAAAGGCUCAGAGAAGUCCUGCAGUAAAGAACAUUUCCAAUACAACCCUGUAUUCCCAGCACAGAUGGCCACAAAGCCACUUUUGUUGGAAGACUCGCCAAGGCAGGACAUUUAUUAAUAUUUUGUGAAAGAAGAAUUAUUUUAUUUAAAAAAAAAUAGAGACAGGAUCUUGCUGUAUUGCCCAGGCUGGUCUUGAACUCCUGGACUCAAGAAAUCCUCCUCGGCCUCUCAAAGUCCGGGGAUUACAGGCAUAAGCCACCGCACCCCGCCAAGAAGAAUUCUUUGGGAACCACUAGCACUCUGGAAUGCUUUACUGUAGAUAUGAAUAAGUGAUUUUUUUUAAAUACAAAAGUCAUAUUAGUAUUAAUUAGUUUUGGUGCAUUUUAGAAAAUACACGUUUUAGAAAGCUUACCCUAAUAACGGUUGGAAGACAUGCUGGAAGAGGUAGCAUGAUAGCAAGUGCUGCAGAGGGAGAGGCGUAACUGGGUUCAAAUUUGCCGCUUGCUGCCUGUGAGUCAAGCCUCACAGGUUUGCAUGGUUUGAUUAAAAUAUGGCUUUAAAGAUCUUAGCACAAAGCCUAGCACAUGGUAAGCACUCACUGUGUGGAAGCUAUUAUAUUAUUUUCAUUUUAUUAUGAUAAAUUGGGGCCGACUAGGUCAAGUCAUCAAAGUUUGGCCCACCCAUGGGAUUUGUAGACUUUUGCAGGGCUGUGCCUCCUUUCCUCCCCAGACAAAAUCCAUCACGUCAGCAGUCACAGGGCACCCUGGUUCCCUCUCUGAAUGAACUGUUAAAUGACUAAGCUGGCUCCCAACAGAGGCAGAGCCCAGCAAUAUGCGGCCUGUAAUCUGUCAGAUGAUACAGCAACAGGCCCAGUGAGGGGCCCGACACACCCCCCAGGAGAGUGGAGUCUCUCACUGCAUGUGACGUGGAAGACGCCGAAGAGGUGAGGGAGGCACCAUAUGCUGCGGGCCUGCCAAGGGAGAAUAAACAGCACCGGCAGCCUGGCACAGAGCUCUGGCGGGAACGUCCACCAAGAUCGGUCAGGCACUCUCAUGGCGUCCUCCUGGAUACAGGCUUUUGCUUUUGUUUUUAAUUUUGGAGCAGUGAAGCCGAAAGUGAGGAGUGAGGACAAGGAGAAGACCCAUUUGCUCCUGUUCAUUCAAACAGCAUCUCUUCAUUUUGAAAUUGGCAAGAGGCAGUUCGGGGCUGUGGCAGGUCCUGUACACCACCUGUUGCCUCCCAAGUCACUGUGCCUUUCUGGCUUUCUUUACCUAUGUCCUGUAAAACGCCAGAUGAGGACAUAGAAAGAUGAACUUAAAGCUGAAAAGUGAACUUAAAGCUGGAAAAAAUGAAGCAAUCUCAGCUAUGAUAGCUGUAAUAGAAAAAUGGAGUUUUCCUCAGUUUUUCUUCCUCAGAAUAAAUGGGAUGAUCCUGAUGGCUGUUUAAGUGGAGAGGAUUUGUUUGGUAAGCACUUCAGGAUGAAGAUGCAUACUUUAAUAGAUUCCCAGAUGAGGAAGCACCUAUAUCUAUGCUUUCCAUCUGCUACUUCUUUGGGAAAAAAUGGAAGACAGAAAUAGCAAAACUUGUAGUCGCUCCAAAUACAUCCUCAGAUAGAGCACAAAAUAUAAUAGACAAAAGCCCUACUAAACCAAGUUUAUGUUUAAUGAAAGCAAGGGCAUAAAAGAAAUACAUAAUGUCUAAAGUAGAUACAUCAAGAAA